rnacentral:rRNA from 1 species
UACAGAGGGUGCGAGCGUUAAUCGGAAUUACUGGGCGUAAAGCGCGCGUAGGCGGCUUUGCAAGUCGGGUGUGAAAUCCCCAGGCUUAACCUGGGAACUGCAUUCGAGACUGCAUUGCUAGAGUAUGGGAGAGGGAAGUGGAAUUUCAGGUGUAGCGGUGAAAUGCGUAGAUAUCGGGAGGAACACCGGUGGCGAAGGCGGUUCUCUGGGCCUUACCUGACGCUGAGGAGCGAAAGCGUGGGGAGCGAACAGG